rnacentral:tRNA from 1 species
UCCCGGGUGGUGUAAUGGUAACACAGCGCCCUUUGGAGGCGUCGUUCAUGGUUCGAAUCCAUGCCCGGGAG